AUGUCAUGCUAUGGGUGGUAUGGAGGAGAAACCAAGGUGUAUGUUGUUAAUCUGGGAACUGGUGCUGGCAAAGAAGAGUUAGAAAGGGCUUUUAGUUAUUAUGGUCCUUCCUUAAUCAAAUCUGUGUGGAUUGCCAGAAAUCCUCUGAGAUUUGCCUUUGUGGAGUUUGAAGACCCUAGAGAUGCAGAAGAUGCCAUGUGCAGACUGAAUGGGAAGGUGAUUUGUGGUUCCAGAGUAUGAGUUGAACUAUCAACAGGCAUGCCUCAGAGAACAUGUUUUGGUAGGCCACCUGCCCAGCAUCCCUUUGAUCCCAAUGAUAGCUAUGAGUGUGACAAAAAGGGACAUUAUGCUUAUGAUUACCAUCAAUAUAGCCAGCGAAGAAGAAGCAGGUCAUGGUCUAGAUCACACUCUUGAUCCAGAGGAAGGCAACACUCUUGCUCAUGCAGGAGGAGCAGGGGAAGAAGGUUAAGAUCAGCGUCUCCUCGAUGAUCAAGAUCUGUGUCUCUUCAUAGAUCAUGAUCAGUCUCACUCAGAAGAUCUAGGUCUGGUUCUAUAAAAGGAUCAAGGUAUUUCCAAUCCUGGUUGAGGUCAAGAUCAAGAUCCAGGUCUAUUUCACAAUCAAGAAGCAGUCAAUCACAGUCCAGAUCUCCAUCUCCAAAAAGAAGUUAUUCCCUGUCAGGAAGUCUGUGCAGAAGUGCAAGUUGUGAAGGAAUGGACUGAAACUCUCAAGUUCAUCCUCUAGGGAAAAGUUAUUUUGUUUACAUUAUUAUAAGGGAAUUGUGAUGUCUGUAAAGCAUAACCUAGGAAGGGUAAUUCAACCAUCUAAUCAAAAUGGAUGUGGAUUAUUAUUCUGUAAAUUCACAGCAGUAAGAUAAUAUAAAUUUUUGUUGAAUGUAUUAACAUUCUAUGGUCUCAAAAUGUGGGGUUUUAUUUGGCAUAUUUAAAUAAAAUGUUUUUAACUAG